rnacentral:misc_RNA from 1 species
AAGUCGUAACAAGGUCUCCGUAGGUGAACCUGCGGAGGGAUCAUUACCGAGAGAGGGCGCCUCGCGCGCCCGACCUCCCAACCCUUUGUCGACCGCACCGCGUUGCCUCGGGGUGUGCCCGCUCUGGCGGGCGCCCCGGACGGCCCCAACCAAAACUCUGCGUCCUUGCGUCGGAGUCGAAUGAUAAAUCAAUCAAAACUUUCAACAACGGAUCUCUUGGUUCUG